rnacentral:rRNA from 1 species
AUACGGAGGAUGCGAGCGUUAUCCGGAUUUAUUGGGUUUAAAGGGAGCGUAGGUGGGAUAUUAAGUCAGCUGUGAAAGUUUGGGGCUCAACCUUAAAAUUGCAGUUGAUACUGGUUUCCUUGAGUACGGAACAGGUGGGCGGAAUUCGUGGUGUAGCGGUGAAAUGCUUAGAUAUCACGAAGAACUCCGAUCGCGAAGGCAGCUCACCGGGCCGGAACUGACACUGAUGCUCGAAAGUGCGGGUAUCAAACAGGAUUAGAUACCCUGGUAGUCCGCACAGUAAACGAUGAAUACUCGCUGUUUGCGAUACACGGUAAGCGGCCAAGCGAAAGCGUUAAGUAUUCCACCUGGGGAGUACGCCGGCAACGGUGAAACUCAAAGGAAUUGGCGGGG